UACAGAGGGGGCAAGCGUUGUUCGGAAUUACUGGGCGUAAAGGGCGCGUAGGCGGCCAACUAAGUCAGACGUGAAAUCCCCAGGCUCAACCUGGGAACUGCGUCUGAUACUGGAUGGCUCGAGUUCGGGAGAGGGAAGUGGAAUUCCAGGUGUAGCGGUGAAAUGCGUAGAUAUCUGGAGGAACACCGGUGGCGAAGGCGGGCUUCCUGGACCGACACUGACGCUGAGGCGCGAAAGCCAGGGGAGCAAACGGG
rnacentral:rRNA from 1 species